AGUGAACGCUGGCGGUAGGCCUAACACAUGCAAGUCGAGCGGAAGCACAGUACUUGCUCCUUCUUUCGGGUGCCGACUGGCGAGCGGUUCCGAGAUAUCUCCCUAUCAGUUUUUUCGAACGUCCUAACGCAGGCACUCAUACGCUAUUCCCGCAUACGACCUAAGUGUGAAAGCUUCGGAUCUUCCGCUCUUACAUGAUUCUAGGUCGGAUUAGCUAGUUGGUGGGGUAAAGGCCUACCAAGGCGACGAUCCGUAGCUGGUCUGAGAGGAUGAUCAGCCACACUGGAACUGAGACACGGUCCAGACUCCUACGGGAGGCAGCAGUGGGGAAUAUUGGACAAUGGGCGCAAGCCUGAUCCAGCCAUGCCGCGUGGGUGAAGAAGGCCUUCGGAUUGUAAAGCCCUUUUAUUUGGGAAGAAAAGCAGCAGGUUAAUACCCCGCUGUUCUGACGUUACCCAAAGAAUAAGCACCGGCUAACUUCGUG
rnacentral:rRNA from 1 species